GAUGAAGAACGCAGCGAAAUGCGAUAAGUAAUGUGAAUUGCAGAAUUCAGUGAAUCAUCGAAUCUUUGAACGCACAUUGCGCCCGCCAGUAUUCUGGCGGGCAUGCCUGUUCGAGCGUCAUUUCAACCAUCAAGCCCCCGGCUUGUGUUGGGGACCUGCGGCUGCCGCAGGCCCUGAAAAGCAGUGGCGGGCUCGCUGUCACACCGAGCGUAGUAGCAUACAUCUCGCUCUGGGCGUGCUGCGGGUUCCGGCCGUUAAACCACCUUCAUAACCCAAGGUUGACCUCGGAUCAGGUAGGAAGACCCGCUGAACUUAAGUAUAUCAAUAAGCGGAGGA
rnacentral:misc_RNA from 1 species